GAUGAACGCUGGCGGCGUGCCUAACACAUGCAAGUCGAACGAAGCACCUUACCUGAUUCUUCGGAUGAAAGUUUGGUGACUGAGUGGCGGACGGGUGAGUAACGCGUGGGUAACCUGCCCUGUACAGGGGGAUAACAGCUGGAAACGGCUGCUAAUACCGCAUAAGCGCACGAGGAGACAUCUCCUUGUGUGAAAAACUCCGGUGGUACAGGAUGGGCCCGCGUCUGAUUAGCUGGUUGGCAGGGUAACGGCCUACCAAGGCAACGAUCAGUAGCCGGUCUGAGAGGAUGAGCGGCCACAUUGGAACUGAGACACGGUCCAAACUCCUACGGGAGGCAGCAGUGGGGAAUAUUGCACAAUGGGGGAAACCCUGAUGCAGCAACGCCGCGUGAGUGAAGAAGUAUUUCAGUAUGUAAAGCUCUAUCAGCAGGGAAGAUAAUGACGGUACCUGACUAAGAAGCUCCGGCUAAAUACGUG
rnacentral:rRNA from 1 species